AAGAGCCAUGAAGAUACUGUGUUCAAUUGUUUUGCCCUUUACAUUUAGGUCUGUGACCCACUUGGAAUAAAUUGUGUAUUGUGUGAAAGCAUCCGUGUUUUCUUCUCAGUUUGACUUACAACGGAGUGAUUAGCAUGUUGGCUAACCUACAAAUGGAUAUAAUGAACAGACUGCAGAGCCUGAGGACAUACAGAGGGAACAGUGGCUACUAAGUGACAACCAAGGACCAAGGUAGAAAAAUAUUUCCUGAAUGACAUCAUCAGAUUAAAAGGACAGAAUCUUCCCUGGCCGGUUUGGCUCAGAGCCAUGUUAUCUAGACACUGAUUUGUUUCCACAUUUCGUAUCUAAGGGACAAUGAAUAAUGAAAACAUCAGGAAUUAAAGAAAGUUAACCAGAGAGACACACAUACAUUAAAAUCAAUCUAAACUUCCCACUACUAUAAAACAACUUCACAUGCUUGACAAGUCAUAGCAGCAACUGCUAUAAAUUUUCCCAUGGCACAUCACCUUCCCCGACUAUAAAGAGGCUACAGCAAAGGAAACAGAUGGUCAUUAAUGAAGCAAGAAACUGCAUCACUUGUUUGAAGGUGAAUUCCUCAAAGCACAAAAAAGUUCAGAGUCUCCUCCAGGAAAUGUGCAAUGAAGGUCCUUGGCAAGCACAGGAUGAUCUGGACAUGGCCAGCUACAUCACCCGUCCAGCCCAGGGCUGAGAAUAAGCAGGGCUUUUCUGGAUUCUGAAAAGGGGGUGAAAAAGGUGCACUCUAGGUGCUGUCCCACACUACUUAUCCUUCCACCUCUGGGAAUUGGUCUGAAAAAGUAUCUGCUGGCCAGCUUUGUCCAGCUUUAAUAUAGGCAUAGGCUAGUCCAAUUCUGCCGAGACAGAUCCUCCAAUUUCUUGCCUGGACAAGACGGCAUGGAAGCUGGCAUUAAUGGGAGCCUCAGAUAGCAAGGUGGCUAGGGUCUCAGCAAUAUAUAUGUUCACUUAACCCACCUGUGUUUUCUACAGUACCCUUGCUUUUAACUGGCCCUGUUGUCCUCUAGUCCAGAUACUAUGCAUUACCUUCUUCAUAUGAAGCAAGUGGUCUCUUUUAU